rnacentral:rRNA from 1 species
AUUGAACGCUGGCGACAGGCUUAACACAUGCAAGUCGAGCGGGGUGAUGGUGCUUGCACUAUCACUUAGCGGCGGACGGGUGAGUAAUGCUUAGGAAUCUGCCUAUUAGUGGGGGACAACAUCUCGAAAGGGAUGCUAAUACCGCAUACGUCCUACGGGAGAAAGCAGGGGAUCACUUGUGACCUUGCGCUAAUAGAUGAGCCUAAGUCGGAUUAGCUAGUUGGUGGGGUAAAGGCCUACCAAGGCGACGAUCUGUAGCGGGUCUGAGAGGAGGGUCCGCCACACUGGGACUGAGCCACGGCCCAGACUCCUACGGGAGGCAGCAGUGGGGAAUAUUGGACAAUGGGAGGAACCCUGAUCCAGCCAUGCCGCGUGUGUGAAGAAGGCCUUAUGGUUGUAAAGCACUUUAAGCGAGGAGGAGGCUUACCUAGUUAAUACCUGGGAUAAGUGGACGUUACUCGCAGAAUAAGCACCGACUAACUCUGUGCCAGCCGCCGCCGUAA